GUGAAACAGGAAGCAUGAGGUAGAUCGAGAAGAAGGUGGUGAACAGGAAGGUUACGUGGACAAAAAGGAGGUUAAUCAGAGAUGUGUGACAGAGUGUACGUGUGUGUGUGUGUGUGAGAGACUCAGAGAGACAGUGGGGGGGUGGGGGGGGGGGGGGGUGGCGUGACUGACGCUCCGGCUACAUUUCUUUUAGGAGAUAGCGAGAAAAAAGCAGAGAAGCAGGAGGAGUGAGUUGUGCUCCUCCUACGCCUGCGUCAAGGACGGAAGGAGUCAUUUCCCCCUCGGUGCAGGGUGGCAUAUAAGCAGCAUGGUGGCCGUUCUUCCGCCAUCUCUGCAGAUACACAAACACAGAUCAGGAAAAAAAAGCAGCUCAAAGUGUCACAUCUUAGAAGUCAAACUGCAGGGGUGGCAGCAGCCCCUGUGAUCAUCCAUCUGGAGCCGCCCCUACACAUGAGCACAAAAUGCAUGUUUUGAAAAAAAACCUCUAACCUGUGAGGUUUGUGUCAGAAACGACGAGUGUGAGCAGAAAUGAGAGCAGACAUAAAGUCAGGAUACUGUGGGUCAGAUAAAUAAAUCAGUUCCAAUGAGAAAAGCUGCAUGUCUGACUGGCUGCCAUGUGGGGGAGGAGACAAAAAAGGGUAAACAAAA